rnacentral:rRNA from 1 species
GACGAACGCUGGCGGCGUGCUUAAUACAUGCAAGUCAACUGAACUUAGGAUAGCAAUAUUUUAAGGGAGGUGGCGCACGGGUGAGUAACACGUAGGUAAUCUGCCUUUAGGUCUGACAUAACCUACCGAAGGUAGGCUAAAAUCAGAUGAUGCAGCGGCUCGACAUCGAGACAGUUGUUAAAUCUUCGGAGCCUAAAGAUGAGCCUGCGUCUGAUUAGGUAGUUGGCGGUGUAAUGGACCACCAAGCCUGCGAUCAGUAGCUGGCCUGAGAGGAUGAUCAGCCACACUGGAACUGAGACACGGUCCAGACUCCUACGGGAGGCAGCAGUAGGAAUAUUGCUCAAUGGCGAAAGGCUGAAGCAGCAACGCCGCGUGGAGGAUG